UACGGGGGGGGCAAGCGUUGUUCGGAAUUACUGGGCGUAAAGGGCUCGUAGGCGGCCAACUAAGUCGGACGUGAAAUCCCCAGGCUCAACCUGGGAACUGCGUCCGAUACUGGAUGGCUUGAAUCCGGGAGAGGGAUGCAGAAUUCCAGGUGUAGCGGUGAAAUGCGUAGAUAUCUGGAGGAACACCGGUGGCGAAGGCGGCAUCCUGGACCAUGACUGACGCUGAGGAGCGAAAGCCAGGGGAGCAAACGGG
rnacentral:rRNA from 1 species